AACUCACCCGGUCCGGACACUGGAAGGAUUGACAGAUUAAAAGCUCUUUCUUGAUUCAGUGGGUGGUGGUGCAUGGCCGUUCUUAGUUGGUGGAGUGAUUUGUCUGGUUAAUUCCGAUAACGAACGAGACUCUAGCCUGCUAACUAGUUCGCCGGCAGCUCUUGUCGCGCGGCGCCGCUUCGGCGGCAAACUUCUUAGAGGGACAGGUGGCGUUUAGCCACACGAAGUAGAGCAAUAACAGGUCUGUGAUGCCCUUAGAUGUCCGGGGCCGCACGCGCGCUACACUGAAAGAAUCAACGUGGAUGCCCACCUGCUCCGAGAGGAGUGGGAAACCCGAUGAAUCUCUUUCGUGAUGGGGAUUGGGGCUUGUAAUUGUUCCCCAUGAACGAGGAAUUCCCAGUAAGCGUCAGUCAUCAGCUGGCGCUGAUUACGUCCCUGCCCUUUGUACACACCGCCCGUCGCUACUACCGAUUGAAUGGUUUAGUGAGACCCUCGGACUGGAGUCCGUCCGCCGCUUUCGGGUGGUGGAUGGGGA
rnacentral:rRNA from 1 species